GCCUGGUGGGUAGUUUGACUGGGGCGGUCUCCUCCCAAAGAGUAACGGAGGAGCACGAAGGUGGGCUAAUCACGGUCGGACAUCGUGAGGUUAGUGCAAUGGCAUAAGCCCGCUUGACUGCGAGAAUGACAAUUCGAGCAGGUGCGAAAGCAGGUCAUAGUGAUCCGGUGGUUCUGAAUGGAAGGGCCAUCGCUCAACGGAUAAAAGGUACUCCGGGGAUAACAGGCUGAUACCGCCCAAGAGUUCAUAUCGACGGCGGUGUUUGGCACCUCGAUGUCGGCUCAUCACAUCCUGGGGCUGAAGUCGGUCCCAAGGGUAUGGCUGUUCGCCAUUUAAAGUGGUACGCGAGCUGGGUUUAGAACGUCGUGAGACAGUUCGGUCCCUAUCUGCCGUGGGCGUUGGAUGAUUGAGAGGGGCUGCUCCUAGUACGAGAGGACCGGAGUGGACGAACCGCUGGUGUUCGGGUUGUAUCGCCAGAUGCAUUGCCCGGUAGCUAAGUUCGGAAUCGAUAACCGCUGAAAGCAUCUAAGCGGGAAGCGAGCCUCAAGAUGAGUCAUCCCUAGACCUUUAAGGUCUCUAAAGGGUUGUUGAAGACUACAACGUUGAUAGGUCAGGUGUGUAAGUGCUGCGAGGCAUUGAGCUAACUGAUACUAAUUGCCCGUGAGGCUUAACCAUACAACACCCAAGGGGUUU
rnacentral:rRNA from 1 species